rnacentral:rRNA from 1 species
UACAGAGGGUGCAAGCGUUGUUCGGAAUUAUUGGGCGUAAAGCGCGUGUAGGCGGCUUUGCAAGUCGGGUGUGAAAGCCCUCAGCUCAACUGAGGAAGUGCGCCCGAAACUGCAGAGCUUGAGUGCCGGAGAGGGUGGCGGAAUUCCCGGUGUAGAGGUGAAAUUCGUAGAUAUCGGGAGGAACACCAGUGGCGAAGGCGGCGACCUGGACAGAUAUUGACGCUGAGGUGCGAAAGCGUGGGGAGCAAACAGG